UGGGGGAUAUUGCACAAUGGGCGAAAGCCUGAUGCAGCGACGCCGCGUGGGGGAUGAAGGCUUUCGGGUUGUAAACCUCUUUCGCUAUCGAACAAGGCCCGCUUAGGGUGGGUUGAGGGUAGGUGGAGAAGAAGCGCCGGCUAACUACGUGCCAGCAGCCGCGGUAAUACGUAGGGCGCGAGCGUUGUCCGGAAUUAUUGGGCGUAAAGGGCUUGUAGGCGGCUUGUUGCGCCUGCUGUGAAAACGCGGGGCUUAACUUCGCGCGUGCAGUGGGUACGGGCAGGCUUGAGUGUGGUAGGGGUGACUGGAAUUCCAGGUGUAGCGGUGGAAUGCGCAGAUAUCUGGAGGAACACCGAUGGCGAAGGCAGGUCACUGGGCCAUUACUGUCGCUGAGGAGCGAAAGCAUGGGUAGCGAACAGG
rnacentral:rRNA from 1 species